rnacentral:tRNA from 1 species
GCCGCAGUCGUCUAGGGGUAAGGACACCAGUUUGUGGUCCGAGUGAUUCACUGGAAACCGAGGUUCGAGUCCUCGCUGCGGCA